UGUGGUUUAAUACACAUGAAGAAUUUCGUUUCCAUAGAUGUCCCCUCUGAUUUAUCCUUCCAUAUAAAAAGUACAAUAAAAUCCCAAGUGAUAUUCUUUGGUCAAUACAUAAAAAUUACUUAUAAUCAACAAUGUUUAUUUAAUUACUCCGCCUGCGCAUGCGCAGUGCGGAGUCUAAAAAUGCCGGAGUCUGUUGUCGGUUGUCGACUGUCGUCAGUGUCACAAACAGGCUCCUUGAUAAAUGUGUACAUUCCAUGAUAUUUAGAUACUUUCUAUUGACAUUUGUGAAUAAUGUUAUACGAUUUGGCAGCGCAAUGCGCAUGCUUACAGCUCUGCUUACAGUAUUUUUCCAAACUGCGAACUGUGAAACGGUCUUGUGCGAUGAAAAAUACUAAAAAGAUGAAUGUCAAGACAAAGCUUCCAGACUCAACUGAGG
rnacentral:lncRNA from 1 species